ensembl:snoRNA
UCUGGCACUGAUGACACACUUGCCCUCACUGAGAACAGUGUUCGGUUAUGAGAACUUCACCAAUGUACUCAAAUUGAUCUGAGCCAGA